rnacentral:rRNA from 1 species
UACAGAGGGGGCAAGCGUUGUUCGGAAUUACUGGGCGUAAAGGGCGCGUAGGCGGCCUUCUAAGUCGAACGUGAAAUCCCCGGGCUCAACCCGGGAACUGCGUCCGAUACUGGAAGGCUUGAAUCCGGGAGAGGGAUGCGGAAUUCCAGGUGUAGCGGUGAAAUGCGUAGAUAUCUGGAGGAACACCGGUGGCGAAGGCGGCAUCCUGGACCGGCAUUGACGCUGAGGCGCGAAGGCGUGGGGAGCGAAC